rnacentral:lncRNA from 1 species
UUAGAUUCUAUGCGAGUUCCAAGUGAUCAUGCUUCAGAUGCUGAUGGGUCCUUAGAUUCUGCACAAGUUCCAAGUGAUCAUGCUCCAGAUGCUGAUGGAUAUUUAGAGUCUGAGGAAGUUCAGAGUGACCAUGCUGCUGAUACUGAUGGGUCCUUAGAUACGAUGGAAGUUCAGAGUGACCAUGCUGCAGAUGCUGAUGG